UGGGAUGGUCCUGUGUCACU
rnacentral:miRNA from 1 species